rnacentral:rRNA from 1 species
UACGGAGGGUGCAAGCGUUAUCCGGAUUUACUGGGCGUAAAGGGCGCGUAGGCGGUCAGCACAAGUCAGUUGUGAAAUCUCCGAGCUUAACUCGGAAAGGUCAACUGAUACUGUGCGACUAGAGUGCAGAAGGGGCAACUGGAAUUCUCGGUGUAGCGGUGAAAUGCGUAGAUAUCGAGAGGAACACCUGCGGCGAAGGCGGGUUGCUGGGCUGACACUGACGCUGGAGGCGCGAAAGCUAGGGGAGCGAACGGG